UAAAUUGAGAGUUUGAUCCUGGCUCAGGAUGAACGCUGGCGGCGUGCUUAACACAUGC
rnacentral:rRNA from 1 species